rnacentral:rRNA from 1 species
ACUCCUACGGGAGGCAGCAGUGGGGAAGUAUUCACAAGGGCGGCANCCUGCAUGCAGCCAUGCCGCGUGUAUGAAGAAGGCCUUCGGGUUGUAAAGUACUUUCAGCAGUGAGGAAGGUGGAGUCGUUAAUAGCGGCCUCAUUUGACGUUAGCUGCAGAAGAAGCACCGGCUAACUCCGUGCCAGCAGCCGCGGUAAUACGGAGGGUGCGAGCGUUAAUCGGAAUUACUGGGCGUAAAGCGCAUGCAGGUGGUUUGUUAAGUCAGAUGUGAAAG